CACAACUGGUACAACUCUUCACGGGAAAAAAUUCGUUGCCGGAUCCAUGACUAAAAUGUUAUGAAAUCAUAAAACUUGUCGGUUCAUGAUAUUGUAACUACAAGUCAUGAUAUCGUGACGUUAACAACGAUUAUCAUGAAUAAUAAUAACUGAUUCCAUCAACAAAAGCCAUGGCCGUCAAAAGCGUUAUGAAAAAAAUUAAGCUCGUUUUCAUAAAUUGAAUACCAUAAAGCAUAGUCAUGGUAGCAUGGCUCUGAGUCAUAAAACUAUGACGCUGAGUCAUCUCAACCAGACGCUGAGUCGUAUAAACAUAACGCAGAGUCAUAAAAUCAUGAAUCACAACAAACGAAUUUGGGCACUGUAAGCGUUACGCAAACCCUCGCGCAGAAUCACCUACGCCAUUUUUGUCACUUCUGUCAAGGCGCCUUUUGUGAGCGGCAGUGUUUUCCGAAGUUGAAAGUGAAAAAACUCUAUAUUCCGGCACAAAACUCCGGCCAGCUUCAUCAGCAGCAGAACAAUCAAGCUCACACGGCGGGCGACAUGGAACAUAAAAUCAGCACGCGCUUGGAUUUCCUUAAGAAAAAAUUCGAGAAUCUUAAUUUGCAGCCGCAAAUUGUUUCGGUUGGGGCAUCGCGGGGAGAAGGAGCGGUGCUCGUUAUUUUCGGGGGAGCGAAGUACAAGGCAGACCACAUCCUCCAUGCCAUUUGCAUUUACAUGCAAGUGAUAUAUGUUUUGAAUCUCCAGUAUGCACCAGACUGCAAGCCCCUCUGGAUGUUCUUGCAGGCUCAUCUGUUCAAAAUCCCAGUGGUAGAUCUACCCAAAAGCACCCGCGAUUUACUGCGGGCUAUUGAGUAGGUUGAAGGCACAAUGAUGAAUAAAUAUUGAAAAAUACCAGAAUCAUAAAAAUUACUUUAAUAUUCAGGAACCUUGUUCAUGAUUUCAGAGUGCGUGCUUCACGAUAACAUGACCUUAAAGGCCACUUUGCACCUGUUGCUGGCAACCAUGUCGCUGAAGACCCCCUUGAGUAGUGUGUGUGGAAAUCAUAAAUGUCAAACGAACUGUCAUAUGAACUGUCAAGCAUAUGUCAAACCUACUUUCAUGAAAUUGCGAAGUCAUUGGCAAAGUGAAUUGAGCUAAAAUUGGUUGAACUACUGUUUAUAAAGUAAGAAUAAAUAAUUUGUAAAUUUAUUAAAAUAACGAGAACUAUUUAGAUUUGCAGAUUAAAUAAAGGUGAUUGUUGGUCGCUAGGAAGAAGUGUUGGCAAACUAAGAGGAGAAUAAAUGUAAGCUGAUAUAUUGAAUUUGUUACUUGAUUGCUAACCUUAAUUAAAUUUAUAGCUUUGAGCUAAUCUCGAUCGGGAACCAAGACGAGUUGCUACAUAAGAUCUCCGAAAACACCAACAGCACCAAUUAAUCCGAUAGUAUAAAUUACAAAUACUAGAAUCAUGCAUACUGCUUAUGUUUUUAUAACAUUAGGUAAUAAAUUUAGAACAUGCUUUAUGAUAACAUGACCAGUACUACCACUUUUCGCAAAUCGAUCCAGUACCAUAAAUGAUAAAUACUUGCACCAUGAGUAAAGAUCAAGCUUUCAUAAAUUUAGUUCAUAGUUUGAGUACGUACUUCAUGAUAAUAUGAACCGAUUUAUCAAAUUUCGCUAAUAAAACUGGAAUCAUAAAUGACAACUUCUAGUUCUAUGAAUACCGCUUCUGGUUUUAUGAAUCUAGUUAAUAGUUCUGGUAUUCAUGGGCAUGAUAUCAUGACUUAACUCACAAAUUUUUGUCAAUAAAUAUUAAAAACGUAACGCCAAGGUGACGUUAUGGCAACAUGAGUCAUGAAAUUAUGACCUUUUUUGUGGUGUAUAUUUAUAACAUGAAAACACACAUUUUACGCGAAAUCAUGACUCAUUUAGCAGGUUCCAAGCAGCGGAUUUUUUCCCGUGUUGAUUAACUUUUAAAGAUAGCAACAUCAAAUUUCCGUAUGAUUAUUUUAUUACUCUACUACUCAAAAUUACUGGAAAGAUGUAGGGUCACAGAACCAUUACCC